GUGCAAGAAAAAGCAAUUGAAGGGAGUAGGUGGGAGAGGAAGAGGAUGAGAAUGAUGUCUGGGAUCAGACUAUCAGAUAUCAUUUGUAAUAAGGUCACUAGUAAUUAUGGAGAAGAAUUUGUAAUUUGGAACAGGAUGGAGAGGAGAGAGGGGAAAAGAUGCCAGAUAUAUUUUUGGAGUUUUAAUGACAUCCUUCUUAAAGUUUAUAGUUAGUAAGUGGUGGAACAAUGAUUCUGUCUGCUUCUGAAGUUUAAGCUCCUGACCAUUCUCUUUAAAUAGCAGGAAUAUUUCUUCAAUAACUUUAAAAAGGAGUUUAAGUCCAGAAAAACAAAACACAUUAUUUUCCUUUCCUGAGAUAAAAACUAGAAGACAUUUUUUAGGAUUAAAUCUCGAAACAUUUUAAUGGGGCAAGUGUGAAUUUUUCUACCAAGGCCUAAAUUCAGCACCUGCCCCAUGAUGCAGAAUAGUGACUUCUGGCCAAUAUUUAAUUGCUGUACAUUAUCCCAAGAAUAACUCCUGUCUUUACUAGAGCUUUCAAUAAAUUUAAACUCAGAGUUGGCAGACAAAUCUUAGUGUUUACAUUCACUACAACACCUUUUCAUGAUCCUUUUGUGUCUUCUAAGAGCCAGAAUGGAGUUGCCACAUCACCAAAGCUUUUUCCCAGGCUUGGUGCUCAAUUUGAGACACAUAAUCCAUGAAUACAACUACCUCAUCUAUAAAGGAGAAGUGGGUCCAGGACCAUAUGAAGCACCUGGACCAAAAGUCUCACAGCUGGAGGAUGAGGACUCCCCCGGCCACGCAGACACCACACCAGAGUGUGGAACGUGAACAUGUAUUCUCCUCCAGCCCCCCCUGCACUAAUGGCACCGUCAUUUUCCAAUAGGGAGGCAGAGCUGUUUUGUCUUAAGUAAUGUUUAAUAUUAUUUGCAUUCUUGCUGGGUUGGGGUCUAUUUUGUAUAUUGGCCAUCUUUUUGUGUGUGUGUUUUAUUUUUUAAUUGGAGUCAUUGGGGUGACAACGGUUAAUAAAAUUAUAUAAGUUU